AUUGAACGCUGGCGGCAUGCUUUACACAUGCAAGUCGAACGGCAGCGCGGGCUUCGGCCUGGCGGCGAGUGGCGAACGGGUGAGUAAUGCAUCGGAACGUGCCCAGUAGUGGGGGAUAGCCCGGCGAAAGCCGGAUUAAUACCGCAUACGACCCGAGGGUGAAAGCGGGGGGCCGAAAGGCCUCGCGCUAUUGGAGCGGCCGAUGUCGGAUUAGCUAGUUGGUGGGGUAAAGGCUUACCAAGGCGACGAUCCGUAGCUGGUCUGAGAGGACGACCAGCCACACUGGGACUGAGCCACGGCCCAGACUCCUACGGGAGGCAGCAGUGGGGAAUGUUGGACAAUGGGGGCAACCCUGAUCCAGCCAUGCCGCGUGCGGGAAGAAGGCCUGCGGGUUGUAAACCGCUUUUGUUCGGGAAGAAAGCCUCUGGGCUAAUACCCCGGGGGGAUGACGGUACCGGAAGAAUAAGCACCGGCUAACUACGUG
rnacentral:rRNA from 1 species